UUCUCAUAUCCACAAUCUAGGGUUUCAUCAUUCUCUCUCUGUACACGCGAUUCAGCUUCAAAGAUCUUCAGAUCCUAUCUUCAAAUCAAGGUUAGAUGAUGAAUAACUUCGAUUAAACAUCAUGAUUUUAUAAUUAUUUAACAUUCGAUCUUCUUUUUAGUUGUGUAUAGAUUUGAUUUUCAUUUGAUCAAACCCUAGAAAAAUUUGUAUGUGUCUCUGUCUCUUCCAAUACCAUCACCGAACCUUCAAUCCGAUCCUUCCUUCAUCAUUCAAGUUAUUUGAAGAAUCUAAACUCGAAGGUAGUUGCUAUUUUGUAGUUCGAUUCUAUUAUUUUUUCAUUCGAUCGGUGUGAUAUCGAUGACGUUUAUUGAUUUGAUAUUUAGGUUUUUAAUCGGUCUGAUAUAAUGUUCUGUUGGUACCUUUUUUGGACAAAGAUUCACUAUCUUUAUGUUUUUUACAUUGCUUGAAUGUUAUUUAGGGUUUAUAAUCCACGCCGAUGAUUUGUUGGAAAUUUUUACAAAGUUUGAAUUUUAUAGUCUUUAUUCAGAAUUGUAUUGAUAUUUAUCAUGUUUCGCUGUUUGUAAAUUAUUUAAUGGUGUAUUCAUAUUUUUCAAUACAUAAUGAUUGUUCUGAUUUGCAUUUAGUUAGUGUAUUCACACAUUUGAUAUUGAUAUCAUAAACUGAUUCCUUUUUUUGUUUCGUUUUGUGUUUAUUGUUUUCAAUCAAUGCUAUACUUUUGAAGUUAAGAUGGUUUAUGGAUUCUCUCGAUAUGUUUGGGACAAGAAUCAGAAAUCAAUGAAGUUGCCCGCUGAUUAUGAAGUUUGGAUUAAAACUUUUAAGUACCCGGAGAAGUAUGCGGUCAUAAGAACUUUAGACGCAAGGAACUCAUGACUAUGAAAGACUUCGAUUCUUUGGGCGAGGUAGUGAGCAAUUGGUGUCUAACGUAUUCUUUUGGUUCAAGCAUGUUUAUAUGUAUCAGGGAAAUGCCAAAUGAGGUAUACAAACGUUUGGAUACAGUUAGUGAAGGUGAAAACUGGUGGGACUGGGAGGUAUUCGCGGUGUUCGUCUUCGUCUGCAUUUCGAUAGGUUUAUCGAGAAUCUCAAGGAUUUACAUUUAUGUAUUUUAACCGGGUCUUAGUUGCAACUUGCAUUUUCAUACAUAUACCUGCACUUUUAAUUGGCUAGAAUCAAGGUUACAUUUUGUUGGUCACUGGUCAGGUUUUGCAAAGUAAGGAGAUGCUAAUUUGGAUUUUUUUAUAAGUUUUGUUGUUACUUUUUUUACAUUAUUAUAUAAAAAAAUAUGACACAAUCAUUGAUGUAUAACUUACUGGUUUAUCAUAUAUUCUCUUACAAAUGUAAAGGUGUUGAAGAAGUCAAAGGAAGUCUUCUUUUGAGAGAGUGGGAUGUGAAGGAAGAAGGAAGUAACUCAGCAACGGGAAGAUGAUGACGUGAAUGAUGAUUCGUCUUUGUAGUUAAGGAGGGAACUGGAAAGGAAUGUUGGGAAGAAGUGAAAUAUGUAGCUCAAUCGUCUAUGGAAUAGAAUCAAUACAUCUGGGUUUUCUUUUUUAUUUAACCAAAUCGAUACCUAAAGAAUUUCCACCACUUGUAGGUUGCUGCAGAUAAAAGCUUUAAAUCUGUGCACUUGAUUUCUGGAAGUCACUUAUGUCGAUGGCUUUUAGAUUCACCAUUUGUCUCUUUAUUUCCAUGUCCAACAUGAUUUGUAUACAUGUUUGUCAGUAAACAAGUUUAAAGAUUUUAUUGUGUCUAUUUAAAAUAAACAACCAGAUUACAAAGGGUUAUCAUCACUUACAACA